AAAAAAAAACUCAGAUCCCUUUUCCCGAGCACCGCCUCCACUGCGAUUGCUGAUUGUCACCAUCGCAAUCUGCGACGACUGUUGUGUCACCGCCCGCGACCUGCAACGGCGUCAUUCUCGAUCAGUUGCGCGCAAACCUUUUCCUGCUUGUGACUGUCUCAAAGGCGCCACAAAUCUGAUUGAAGGUAAUCACGGUGUUUGUUCUUCGUUGAAUUUGUAUGAAUGUUUCUGGUUGUUAUCAUUAGUAAAUCCUACUUUCGAAUUUUGA